rnacentral:rRNA from 1 species
CCUACGGGCGGCAGCAGUGGGGAAUAUUGGGCAAUGGACGCAAGUCUGACCCAGCAACGCCGCGUGAAGGAAGAAGGCUUUCGGGUUGUAAACUUCUUUUUAGGGGGAAGAGCAGAAGACGGUACCCCUUGAAUAAGCCACGGCUAACUACGUGCCAGCAGCUGCGGUAAUGCGAAGGUGGCAAGCGUUGUCCGGAUUUACUGGGUGUAAAGGGCGUGCAGCCGGGGAGACAAGUCAGAUGUGAAAUCCGCAGGCUCAAACUGCGAACUGCAUUUGAAACUGGUUCCCUUGAGUAACGGAGAGGUCAUCGGAAUGCGUGGUGUAGCGGUGAAAUGCGUAGAUAUUAGGAAGAACACCAGUGGCGAAGGCGGAAGACUGGACGACAACUGACGGUGAGGCGCGAAAGCGUGGGGAGCAAACAGGAUUAGAUACCCCAGUAGUC